rnacentral:rRNA from 1 species
CACGUAGGGGGCAAGCGUUGUCCGGAAUCAUUGGGCGUAAAGAGCUCGUAGGCGGCUCAGUAAGUCGGGUGUGAAACCCUCAGGCUCAACCUGGGGACGCCACCCGAUACUGCUGUGGCUAGAGUCCAGUAGGGGAGUGUGGAAUUCCCGGUGUGAGCGGUGAAAUGCGCAGAUAUCGGGAGGAACACCAGCGGCGAAGGCGGCACUCUGGGCUGGUACUGACGCUGAGGAGCGAAAGCGUGGGUAGCAAACAGG